UUGAUGGAGGCAUAGGUAAACCUGG
rnacentral:piRNA from 2 species